UCUUGCACUGAAAGAUGAACGGACUUGUGUCCACAACUCCACACAUAUAACGGUGUAAUAAUUAACAUAACAAACAGAACAAAAAUUAAUUAGAUACUACUAACAAUCUAACAUAUACAUAAGCUUGUAAAUGAUAUACAUAACAUCUGAAAUAUGAAAUGUAUAGACGAAUCCCAAUAAUUAACAUAACAAAGAUGAAAAAUCGUACAUACACACCAAGAAUGAAUGAAUUCAAAGGCCAAACUGAACAUGUAGAUAUCAGCAUAUACCAACCAUCAAGUAAAAAGAAAUGAAAACUAAAAUAAAAUAAAAACGUAUAUAUAUACUAAAACAAUAUUUGGAUAUAACUAGGUUUAAUUCUUCUGUUUGAUAUUGGAACACUUGGUCUUGAUCCAGUUAAAACCAACAGAGGUACCAUCUUUCAACUUCUUCACCCCAGUGGAAGCCACUGAUUUGGUCUUGUCAAAACCCUCUCCAAUUUUCUGCUUGUAUUUGUUGUUGUUGUUCUUAUCAUGACCAACCAUCCUAGGAUCUGGACCAUUGUCCCAUUGAUCUGCCCAUGAUGUUCCAUAAGAGUUGUUCCCUUUAUCCAUUUCUUCUCAGUUAUGAUCACUAUUCCAAAAUUGCUUUAUAUUGUGGAAUUGAUAAUUUGAGGGAUUAUAAAUACAAGGUGAUAAAUAUAUAGGUGUUUUCAGCAAGGGACCGAUUCAAUGUUUUUCUUUAUAAUUAUAAAUGCUUUUGCUAGUAGUUGAUCUACAAAAUCAACUAUAUC
rnacentral:lncRNA from 1 species